UACGGAGGGGGCUAGCGUUGUUCGGAAUUACUGGGCGUAAAGCGCAUGUAGGCGGUUCUGCAAGUUAGAGGUGAAAGCCCGGGGCUCAACUCCGGAAUUGCCUUUAAAACUGCAUCGCUAGAAUUGUGGAGAGGUAAGUGGAAUUCCGAGUGUAGAGGUGAAAUUCGUAGAUAUUCGGAAGAACACCAGUGGCGAAGGCGACUUACUGGACACAUAUUGACGCUGAGGUGCGAAAGCGUGGGGAGCAAACAGG
rnacentral:rRNA from 1 species